UGAACAGCUUCGGUUUAGAUAUUCAACUUUUUCAUUUUCAUUCUUCGUGGUUUAGUUGAUACUGUCGUUUGUGUCUGUGAGUAAGUACAUAUUACUUCGAGUGCUACUUCCAAAAAAUAGUGAAAAUGGCGGAAAAGUUUUGUUGCAUGUUUUCUCAAAGAACCGGCUCGAUUAUAAUUUUGAGUUCUCUUAUGAUGUUUGUCAUCCAGCUCUGCAUCGUAAUAGUCGUAUACUACGGCUCAAGUAAAGGGAUGAUUUCCGAACUUGGUGUCUGGGUAAUGCUUACGAGUACAAUAAUUUGGGUUUAUUUUUGCAUCCUCGCACUACUUGGAGUUGAACGAAAAAAAUCGUCGUAUAUGAAACCCGCAUUAACGUUGAUUCUCACUCCAUUUAGUUUCAUCUUGAUUAACCAGAUUUUCUGCAUUUUAAACGUCUUUCAACUCACAAAUAUAAAAUCUACCUUUACAAUCGAGGAAUGUCUGUAUUCACUGAUUCUUGAAGCCAUGCUGAUUUAUGCGUAUCACACGGUUCACGCUCACUACGAAGAACUUAAAUUACCAAAAAAAUCAAUUGAUCAAAACGUCGUGUAAGAAAUUCGAUUGAUAAAAAGAUACUGUAUGAACCAAUUUGUAUUGUAUGUACCAUACCUUUUGUGUACAGUACUUACAUCUUAACCGUGAAUCGUGGCGUGUUAAUUGUAAAGCAGGAAAUUGCUCAAUAUUUAUAAAUUUAAAUAAGACGUUUACAUCGUUA